UGUAGAUAUUAAUGUUAGGGGAGAAUGUGAGUGAUGUGUACAUUUAGUAGGAAAACCUAUUAUCUGAUCCACACUCCGGGACAGAAGAGGGCAGUAUUGCACCAAUAAGCUGGAUGCCAACCCCCGUUAAACUGGAAAGAAGUUACAAUGAGUUACAAUGGUAGUGGUGCUCAUGGAGAGCAGCACAUGAUUGUUUGGAGCAGACACAGCAGCAGUCAGAUUGUCCUGCAUGUGUUCUUCUGCUCUCGUUUCAAGGUUGUGUGGUUCAGAGAGCCGUCAUCAAGGUCUUCCUCAUCCUGUUGCUCAACGACAUCCCCGUUGAGAAGAGUGAGAUUGUGAAGCACAGCGCAGCAGAACUGUCUCAGCUGUGUUGAGAUGAUAGUAAGAUGUGGGGUUCACCAUCUGUAAAUACAUGAUUGUUAGAACAGUAAGUUUGAAAGAAGCUUUGUUUCAUGUGUUGUUGACUUG
ensembl:lncRNA